AUGGAUACACUACUAUUACUGAUCCUCAUUAUGACAACAGGUGUAACUGCUGACCAAGUCUCUCCUGAGCAGAAGGGCGUCACUCAGAGUGAAGAGGAAUCUGUAACACUCAAAUGCUCUUAUGAGACGAGCAGCAGCUAUGUUUUUCUUUACUGGUACAGGCAGUAUCCUGGACAGGCACCUCAGUAUUUGUUAUAUAAAGGUGCAAGAAGUUAUAGUGGUAGUUAUGAACACAUCCCUGAUCCAAGAUUUGAUUCCACAACAUCACAGACAUCCACUGAGCUCCAUAUUAAAGUCCUGACCCUGGCAGACACGGCUCUCUACUACUGUGCUCUGAGGCUAGCACAUGCUGCUGCAAGUUAUUUGCACUGGUAUCAACAAUAUCCAGGAUCUAAGGCUGAAUUCCUCAUCCUACAUGCAGAGACAGGAUCAUAUCAACAGCAAAGUAUCCCUCCACAUCCACGAGUGUCUGUUAAAGUGACCAGAAACAGGAGACGUUUGGAUGUGCACAUAUCUUCAGCUCAGCUGACAGACUCUGCUCUCUACUACUGUGCUAUGGAGCCCACAGUGAUGGAAAAUACAUCAUCAUUCUACACAAACCUACACCGGGAGUAUAUAAAGAGCUCUUAUAGCUGA